CAGGGCAGGCAUGGGCAAGCCUCUGCCCCCGGAGCCCUUUUGUUUAAAUCAGCUGCCCCGCAGCCCUCUGGAGUGGAGGAAACUGAGACCCACUGAGGUUACGUAGUUUGCCCAAGGUCAAGCCUGGGUGCCUGCAAUCCUUGCCCUGUGCCAGGCUGCCUCCCAGGUGUCAGGUGAGCUCUGAGCACCUGCUGUGUGGCAGUCUCUCAUCCUUCCACGCACAUCCUCUUCCCCUCCUCCCAGGCUGGGGCUCACAGACAGCCCCCUGGUUGGCCCAUCCCCAGUGACUGUGUGUUGAUCAGGCGCCCAGUCACGCGGCCUGCUCCCCCCCACCCAACCCCAGGGCUCUAUGGGAAGGACCAGCAGGAGGCAGCCCUGGUGGACAUGGUGAAUGACGGCGUGGAGGACCUCCGCUGCAAAUACGUCUCCCUCAUCUACACCAACUAUGAGGCGGGCAAGGAUGACUAUGUGAAGGCACUGCCCGGGCAACUGAAGCCUUUUGAGACCCUGCUGUCCCAGAACCAGGGAGGCAAGACCUUCAUUGUGGGAGACCAGAUCUCCUUCGCUGACUACAACCUGCUGGACUUGCUGCUGAUCCAUGAGGUCCUAGCCCCUGGCUGCCUGGAUGCGUUCCCCCUGCUCUCAGCAUAUGUGGGGCGCCUCAGCGCCCGGCCCAAGCUCAAGGCCUUCCUGGCCUCCCCUGAGUACGUGAACCUCCCCAUCAAUGGCAACGGGA
rnacentral:sRNA from 1 species